CCUACGGGAGGCAGCAGUGGGGAAUAUUGCACAAUGGGGGAAACCCUGAUGCAGCGACGCCGCGUGAGUGAUGACGUAUCUCGGUAUGUAAAGCUCUAUCAGCAGGGAAGUAAUAGCGACCUCUUGUUCGCUAGACUGUAUCCGAUUAAGAAGCCCCGGCUAACUACGUGCCAGCAGCCGCGGUAAUACGUAGGGGGCAAGCGUUAUCCGGAUUUACUGGGUGUAAAGGGAGCGUAUACGGCAGCGCAAGUCUGAAGUGAAAUGCCGGGGCUUAACCCCGGAACUGCAUUGGAGACUGUGCAGCUAGAGUGCAGGAGAGGUAAGUGGAAUUCCUAGUGUAGCGGUGAAAUGCGUAGAUAUUAGGAGGAACACCGAUGGCGAAGGCAGCUUACUGGACUGUAACUGACGUUGAGGCUCGAAAGCGUGGGGAGCAAACAGGAUUAGAUACCCGAGUAGUC
rnacentral:rRNA from 1 species